UACGGAGGGGGCUAGCGUUGUUCGGAAUUACUGGGCGUAAAGCGCGCGUAGGCGGACCUGCAAGUCGGGGGUGAAAGCCCGAGGCUCAACCUCGGAACUGCCUUCAAUACUGCGGGUCUCGAGUCCGGGAGAGGUGAGUGGAAUUCCUAGUGUAGAGGUGAAAUUCGUAGAUAUUAGGAAGAACACCAGUGGCGAAGGCGGCUCACUGGCCCGGUACUGACGCUGAGGCGCGAAAGCGCGGGGAGCAACAGGG
rnacentral:rRNA from 1 species